rnacentral:lncRNA from 1 species
ACGCUGAUUCAAAUAAGAAAAAAUGGAAAUGCCUUAGUUUAUUAUUUUUGAGGUGGGUGGUGUCUUUUUGUUUCUGGUGUUGAUGUUCUCUUUGGGGCUUAGGACUUCUGUGUUGCAGUCUGCUUCUUUUUGCUGGCUUAGGACUUACGCUGAUUCAAACAAGAAAAAAAUAGAAAUGCCUUAGUUGGUUAUAAUGUUUUAGUGUUUGAUUUUGAAGCUUGGUUUUGUGCUUUGUUAGAAAAGAAAGAAUGAAAGAAAUGUUGGAACUUUGAAAUGGAAUAGACUCAAGCUGAAGAUGGUA